UAUUGGGAUUUUUGUGUACUAUAUGUAUCUCUCUAUAUUGAGCUUCAAUUUUGAGGUUCUCGUUUUAGGGUUUCUCUUUUGCCUCUUAUUCUAAGGUUUUACUUUUAAUGCUAGCUUAAUAAAGGUUCUGUGAUAAAUUGCGCACUGAGCUGUACUCUUUGCUUGGUGAUAUGGACCCUGUGGUUCUGUUGGUUUAAUCUUCAUGGUAGAGGGAUAAUGUUUUGGUUUCAUGUAGGAGAAGGUAGAAUGGUAAGACGAAAAGAUAGUUUCUGGGAGUAUGCAGAGGAAUUAAAAGGGCGUUUUCGUUGCAAAUUUUGUCAUAAAGAUUAUCCUGGGGGAAUUGCACGGGUCAAAUCUCAUUUGUCUAGACAACCAGGGAUAGAUAUUGCCAUUUGUAAUUCCGUGCCAGAUGAUGUCCAAGCUUUGGCUUUCAUUGCUGUUCGUGGUAAAGAUUCCCCUUACAAGAAAAGGAAAAGUGUAUCGUAUUCAGCAAACGGGGAGGGAAAUGCAGUUGAUUUAUCGUUAGUCAAUGUUACUUCUUGUCCUGGUGCUUCUACCGAUGGACAACAAACUUCUAUAGUAGCUUCUUGCAAUAAGGAUAUGGGUAAACUGCAAGUGGAUAAACUGGUAGCUCAAGCCUUUGUAAUGAAUAACAUUCCCUUCGAUGUUAUCCAGUCACCGUCAUUUGUUUCAAUGAUGAAGGCAGUUGCUGAAUGUGGUACUAGUUACUCGUUGCCAACCUAUAUGAAUCUUUGUACAAAUUUGGUGAGAGAUGCAAGGAGCGAUGUUGAGGAGUAUGUCAAUACAGUAAAGGAGUCUUGGCCUCUCACAGGAUGUACUUUAAUGGCAGACAUUUGGACUGAUUCGAGAGAUUGCUCUUUAAUCAAUGUAGUUGCUUAUUCUCCAAAGGGGGCUGUUUUCUUAAAAUCUGUUGAAAUAUCUGCGCCAAGGAAAGGAGAUGCAUUUGUUGGAGCUAUGGUUAUGUCUCCUAUCAUUAUGCUACACGUCAUGCAGGUAAUGUGGUGCAGAUAAUCGCACCAGGUAAUGUGGUGCAGAUAAUCGCAAAUAAUGCUACACGUCAUGCUUUUGAAGAUGAUUGGGUUACAAGGAGAUAUCCUCAUAUCUACAGAACACAAUGUGCUGCCAGUGAGAUUCAAGUUCUGUUGGAAGAUUUUUACGAAGGAGUUGAAUGGAUACAUAACAUUGUCGAUGAUGCCAAGAUAAUAGUGGAUUACAUGUACAAGUACCCUGAGGUUUUAAGGUUAAUGAGGUCACACACUGGUGAGAAGGAGUUAAAAAAACCCUGUAAAACCAGAUUUUUUUCCCACCAUAUAAUGCUUCAAUCUAUUGCAGAAGUUGAAGCAAAUUUACACUUGACUGUUGUCUCUCGGGAGUGGAUAGAUCUGAGUUUCAGCAGAACUGAAGUUGGAGACAGUGUUACUCGAACAAUUUAAAGUGAAACCUUUUGGGGAGGACUCAAGGAUGUAAUAUCAGUUUUCGAGCCUCUUAUAAAAGUACUGUAUUUGGUUGAAGGUGAGGGAUCAACUGCUGGUUACUUAUAUGAGUCGAUAGAAAAAGCAAGCGUGGAGCUCAAGCGACGGUUUACUACUGAUCCCAGGAAAUACUUUGAGCUGUGGGAAAUGUUUACAAAAUGGCAGGGAACAAAAGUUCAUAAGAUACACGCAGCAGCUGCAUUUCUAAAUCCCUCUUUAAUGUAUGAUGGGAAAAUCAAAUAUGAGCUGGCUAAUGUUAGAGAUGGCAUGAAUUACGUUGCAGAGAACUUACUUGGCACAAAAGAGAUGGGCGAUUUUGCUGCACAAUUGUUGCUUUACAAUGGCAAAAGUUCAAAGCUGUUUAACACGCUCUCAGUGUUCAUGAUGAAGAAGGCUCAUCCACGUAUCUGGUGGGAAUAUAACGGCGGAGAAGUUCCUUUGCUACGUAAGGUUGCUAUCCGCAUUUUGAGCCAGCCAUGUGCUUCUUCGGGUUUAGCACGAAAUUGGAGUGCAUUUGAAGCUGCAAAGACAAAGAAGCUAAACAAGCUACCUGAGGACGUCUUAAAUGAUUUAGUGUACGUGAGGAUGAAUUCAAAGAUGAUGGCUUCUUAUAAUGACCCCGAAAUGCGAGAUAGCUUUGCAAUUAAUCUAGAGAAGCUUGAAGAGCUUCCAGAUUACCACAACGACAAUUACGAGGAAAUUGAAAACAAGGAGGCUACUGCUGAUUCUACCACAUUCACAUUUGAUGAAAUGCUUGGCCUUGGAUCUCCAUCACAACUUUCUAACAAUGCGGCCGCUGUUUAGCAGUAAACUUGGUUUUUGAUGGUUUUAGAACUUCUCAAACAACUUAAAUUGUAUAAUUCACCUUUUUGAUUGUUCAGGUUACUGCUUGGGUUUUCACUGUUGGGUAACACAGCUUGAGCUGUCAUGUAUUCCUCUGCAGCAAUUGAGAAACUUGAAAAACGUUUUUG